rnacentral:rRNA from 1 species
UACGAAGGGGGCUAGCGUUGUUCGGAUUUAUUGGGCGUAAAGGGCUCGUAGGCGGUCCAUCGCGUCGGGAGUGAAAAGCUGGGGCUCAACCCCAGUCCUGCUUCCGAUACGGGUGGACUAGAGGUAUGCAGGGGAGAACGGAAUUCCUGGUGUGAGCGGUGAAAUGACGCAGAUAUCAGGAGGAACACCGGUGGCGAAGGCGGUUCUCUGGGCAUUACCUGACGCUGAGGAGCGAAAGCGUGGGGAGCAAACAGGA